rnacentral:rRNA from 7 species
UGCUUAACACAUGCAAGUCGAACGGCAGCAUUGUCUAGCUUGCUAGACAGAUGGCGAGUGGCGAACGGGUGAGUAACGCGUAGGAAUAUGCCUUGAAGAGGGGGACAACUUGGGGAAACUCAAGCUAAUACCGCAUAAUGUCUGAGGACGAAAGCUGGGGACCUUCGGGCCUGGCGCUUUAAGAUUAGCCUGCGUCCGAUUAGCUAGUUGGUGGGGUAAGGGCCUACCAAGGCGACGAUCGGUAGCUGGUCUGAGAGGAUGACCAGCCACACUGGAACUGAGACACGGUCCAGACUCCUACGGGAGGCAGCAGUGGGGAAUAUUGGACAAUGGGGGCAACCCUGAUCCAGCAAUGCCGCGUGUGUGAAGAAGGCCUGAGGGUUGUAAAGCACUUUCAGUGGGGAGGAGGGUUGAUAGGUUAAGAGCUGAUUAACUGGACGUUACCCACAGAAGAAGCACCGGCUAACUCCGUGCCAGCAGCCGCGGUAAUACGGAGGGUGCGAGCGUUAAUCGGAAUUACUGGG